rnacentral:lncRNA from 1 species
UGUUGCGUCUCAUCGAUUUGAAAAUAUUUUCAGUUAAAAGUCCGGCCAAAAUACGAAAUUUAGACGGUCCAACGACCUUUUCCGUGCAUUUAGGGGUUUGACUUAAGGGAUUGACCGUCCGGAUCGAGCACUUCACCUUGUCGGAUCAAGUUGCAUUUUUUCCCAUACAUGUAUUUUUUCAUGAUUGUCAGAUCUGACCAUCGGAUUUCCGUUUCUCAAGUUUGAUCAUCAUAACCACAACAUGCCUACUAAUGUUGUAUAACUUAUUUACCUAGUGUUAAGUAAAUGUUCCGUUUCAAAAACAAACUAUACGUAAAACCUUCAAAUGCAAAAAAAUUGUGAAAUAAGAUAUGACCAGAAUGGCGAAAUACGUCCACGGUUGAAAAAUCACAGUAUUCCGGUAAAGUUUCGGUGCCGAUAGUUGCGGUCAAUGGAAUUUUUCAUUCUUUCUCCCUAUGAGUAGCCAUAUCUUCGGUGGUUAUUUUGCGUAAAAUUUUUAUACGACUUGUGGCGCUCAUCGGUUUGAAACUAUUUUCAGUUGAAGGUCCGGCCAAAAUACGUAAUUUACACAAUCCAAUGACCUUUUCCGUGAGUUUAGGGGUUUGACUUAAUGGAUUGACCGUCCGGAUUGAGCCCUUCACCUUGUCGAAUCAAGUUCAAGUGUUUUCCCAUACAUGUAUUUUAUCAUGAUGGUCAGAUCUGACGGUCGGAUUUUCGUUUCUCAAAUUUGAUCAUCACAAUCACAAUCACAGUUUGACGAAUGUAUAAAAAAUACUAUAACCGACGAAUUUCAAAGGUUUAGCCGACGAAUUUAUUGUUUAGCCGACGAAUUUCAUAGGUUUAGCCGACAAAUUUCAAAGGUUUAGCCGACGAAUUUCAAAGGUUUAGCUGACGAAUUUUAUCUUAGCCGACUAGAUGAUUAUUUUAGCCAACGAAAUUAUUAUCUUUAGCCGACGAAAUAAUAAUUUCGUCGGCUAAAGUUUCGGGUAUAACCCAGCGCUCGACUGGUUGAAAGCCCUAGCCUCCGCCUCCUCUCCCUCUCCAAAUUUCCCCUCCUCCGCCUCCGCUCCCUCUCCCGGUCGCCGCCCUCUCCCUCUCCCUCUCCCUCUCCCUCUCCCGGUCUCCGCUCCCUCUCCCUCUCCCGGUCUUCGCCUCCGCUCCCUCUCCCUCUCCGGCCGGCCUCCUCCUCCUGCUCCGUCCGGCCGAUUAAGUCUUCCUGCUCCGGCCGGCCUCCUCCUCCUCCGGCCUCCUGCUCCUCCUGCUCCGGCCGGCUGGCCUCCUCCUCCUGCUGCUACGGUCCUCCCUCCUCCUCCUCGAGUACAUUUCUGAGCUUUAGUUUUAUUUUGUGUUUGCUUUUAUUUUCCGGUCAAUUGCAAUGUUGUGGUGUUGUUAGGAAGUGUAUAUUUGUAUUUAGGAAGUUUAUAUUUUUAUUUAAUAAGUGUAUAUUUGUAUUUAGUAUUUAGGAAAUGUAUAUAUUUGUUUUGUAUUUUGUGUUUGCUUUGAUUUUCCGGUCAAUUGCAAUGUGGUGGUGUUGUA